GGGGAAUAUUGCGCAAUGGGGGCAACCCUGACGCAGCCAUGCCGCGUGAAUGAAGAAGGCCUUCGGGUUGUAAAGUUCUUUCGGUAGCGAGGAAGGCAUUUAGUUUAAUAGACUAAGUGAUUGACGUUAACUACAGAAGAAGCACCGGCUAACUCCGUGCCAGCAGCCGCGGUAAUACGGAGGGUGCGAGCGUUAAUCGGAAUAACUGGGCGUAAAGGGCACGCAGGCGGUGACUUAAGUGAGGUGUGAAAGCCCCGGGCUUAACCUGGGAAUUGCAUUUCAUACUGGGUCGCUAGAGUACUUUAGGGAGGGGUAGAAUUCCACGUGUAGCGGUGAAAUGCGUAGAGAUGUGGAGGAAUACCGAAGGCGAAGGCAGCCCCUUGGGAAUGUACUGACGCUCAUGUGCGAAAGCGUGGGGAGCAAACAGGAUUAGAUACCCUGGUAGUCCACGCUGUAAACGAUGUCGAUUUGGGGGUUGAACUUUAAGUUUGGCGCCCGUAGCUAACGUGAUAAAUCGACCGCCUGGGGAGUACGGCCGCAAGGUUA
rnacentral:rRNA from 1 species